rnacentral:rRNA from 1 species
CCCUUAGAUGUCCUGGGCCGCACGCGCGCUACACUGAACGGAUCAGCGCGUUUUCCCUUCCCGAGAGGGACGGGUAACCUGCUGAACCCCGUUCGUGGUAGGGAUCGGGGCUUGCAAUUAUUCCCCGUGAACCAGGAAUGCACAGUAAGUGCAAGUCAUAAGCUUGCGUUGAUUACGUCCCUGCCCUUUGUACACACCGCCCGUCGCUACUACCGAUUGAACGUUUUAGUGAGGUACUCGGACUGAGCCUCAGAAGAUUCACGUCUUUUGUGCUGCUCGGGAAGAUUCCCAAACUUGAGCGUUUAGAGGAAGUAAAAGUCGUAACA